rnacentral:rRNA from 1 species
GACGAACGCUGGCGGCGUGCUUAACACAUGCAAGUCGAACGGAAAGGCCCUGCUUUUGUGGGGUGCUCGAGUGGCGAACGGGUGAGUAACACGUGAGUAACCUGCCCUUGACUUUGGGAUAACUUCAGGAAACUGGGGCUAAUACCGGAUAGGAGCUCCUGCUGCAUGGUGGGGGUUGGAAAGUUUCGGCGGUUGGGGAUGGACUCGCGGCUUAUCAGCUUGUUGGUGGGGUAGUGGCUUACCAAGGCUUUGACGGGUAGCCGGACUGAGAGGGUGACCGGCCACAUUGGGACUGAGAUACGGCCCAGACUCCGACGGGAGGCAGAAGUGGGGAAUAUUGCACAAUGGGCGGAAGCCUGAUGCAGCAACGCCGCGUGCGGGAUGACGGCCUUCGGGUUGUAAACCGCUUUCGCCUGUGACGAAGCGUGAGUGACGGUAAUGGGUAAAGAAGCACCGGCUAACUACGUG